UACGUAGGGGGCAAGCGUUGUCCGGAAUUAUUGGGCGUAAAGAGCUCGUAGGCGGUCUGUCGCGUCUGCUGUGAAAACCUGGGGCUUAACCCCGGGCCUGCAGUGGGUACGGGCAGACUAGAGUGCGGUAGGGGAGACUGGAAUUCCUGGUGUAGCGGUGAAAUGCGCAGAUAUCAGGAGGAACACCGGUGGCGAAGGCGGGUCUCUGGGCCGUAACUGACGCUGAGGAGCGAAAGCAUGGGGAGCGAACAGG
rnacentral:rRNA from 1 species